rnacentral:rRNA from 1 species
AAGUCGUAACAAGGUUUCCGUAGGUGAACCUGCGGAAGGAUCAUUAACGAGUAACGUCCCCGGGGUCACACCCGAGGGACCAACCUCCCACCCAUUGCGAAUCAUACCUUUGUUGCUUUGGCGGGCCGUGGCCUCGCUGCCGCCGCUGGCCGUUCGGCUGGCGAGCGCCCGUCAGAGACCCCCGAAACUCCACGUAUCGGUGACGUCUGAGUCAAAAUUUAAUGACAUAAAACUUUCAACAACGGAUCUCUUGGUUCUGGCAUCGAUGAAGAACGCAGCGAAAUGCGAUAAGUAAUGUGAAUUGCAGAAUUCAGUGAAUCAUCGAAUCUUUGAACGCACAUUGCGCCCUCUGGUAUUCCGGGGGGCAUGCCUGUUCGAGCGUCAUGAUCAACAUCAAGCUCAGCUUGGUCUUGGGUGACCGUCCCCUGGGACGCACCUGGAAAUCAGCGGCGGUGCGGCCGAGACACCAGCGUAGUAACUACUCCCGCUCGGUGGCCUCGGGUGCGUCAGCCGGACGACCCCUCAUCAUAUUCACGUUUGACCUCGGAUCGGGUAGGGAUACCCGCUGAACUUAAGCAUAUCAAUAAGCGGAGGAAAAGAAACCAACAGGGAUUGCCUCAGUAACGGCGAGUGAAGCGGCAACAGCUCAAAUUUGAAAUCUGGCCUCACGGUCCGAGUUGUAAUUUGUAGAGGAUGUCUCGGGUGCGGCACCGGUCUAAGUUCCUUGGAACAGGGCGUCAUAGAGGGUGAGAAUCCCGUACGUGNCCGGCCGCCAAUCCCAUGUGAGGCCCCUUCGACGAGUCGAGUUGUUUGGGAAUGCAGCUCAAAAUGGGUGGUAAAUUUCAUCUAAAGCUAAAUACCGGCCAGAGACCGAUAGCGCACAAGUAGAGUGAUCGAAAGAUGAAAAGCACUUUGGAAAGAGAGUUAAACAGUACGUGAAAUUGUUGAAAGGGAAGCGCUUGCAACCAGACUUGCCCGCGGGUGAUCAACCGCCGUUCUCGGUGGUGCACUCGCCCGUGGUCAGGCCAGCAUCGGUUUUGGCGGCUGGACAAAGGCCUUGGGAACGUGGCUCCUCUCGGGGAGUGUUAUAGCCCAGGGUGCAAUGCAGCCAGCCGGGACCGAGGACCGCGCUUCGGCUAGGAUGCUGGCGUAAUGGUUGUCAGCGACC